rnacentral:rRNA from 1 species
CUGAGAUGAGCUUGCGUACCAUUAGCUAGUUGGUAGGGUAAUGGCCUACCAAGGCUACGAUGGUUAGCUGGUCUGAGAGGAUGAUCAGCCACACUGGAACUGAGAUACGGUCCAGACUCCUACGGCGCAAUGGGCGAAAGCCUGACGGAGCAACGCCGCGUGAGCGAAGAAGGUUUUCGGAUUGUAAAGCUCUGUGAUAUUGGACGAACGAUUUCCCGUAAAUAAUGGGAAAGAAUGACGGUACAAUAAGAGGAAGCCACGGCUAACUACGUGCCAGCAGCCGCGGUAAUACGUAGGUGGCAAACGUUGUCCGGAAUUACUGGGGUAAAGGGCGAGUAGGUGGUUUAUUAAGUCAAGAGUGAAAACUCCGGGCUCAACUCGGAGACUGCUCUACGAAACUGGUAGACUUGAGUGCAAGAGAGGGAAGUGGAAUUCCUAGUGUAGCGGUGAAAUGCGUAGAUAUUAGGAGGAACACCAGUGGCGAAGGCGACUACCUGGACCGAUAUUGACGCUGAGACGCGAAAGCGUGGGUAGCAAACAGGAUUAUACCCUGGUAGUCCACGCCGUAAACGAUGAGUGCUAGGUGUCGGGGGUAUCGACCCCCUCGGUGCCACAGCUAACGCAAUAAGCACUCCGCCUGGGGAGUACGGUCGCAAGACUGAAACUCAAAGGAAUUGACGGGCACAAGCGGUGGAGUAUGUGGUUUAAUUCGACGCAACGCGAAGAACCUUACCAAGGCUUGACAUCCUGUGACAGCCAUAGAAAUAUGGACUUCUUAGUUUACUAAGACACAGAGACAGGUGGUGCAUGGUUGUCGUCAGCUCGUGUCGUGAGAUGUUGGGUUAAGUCCCGCAACGAGCGCAACCCCUACAGCCAGUUGCCAGCACGUAAUGGUGGGAACUCUGGCAGAACUGCCGUUGACAAAACGGAGGAAGGUGGGGAUGACGUCAAAUCAUCAUGCCCCUUAUGUCUUGGGCUACACACGUACUACAAUGGCCUGAACAGAGGGAAGCGAAACUGCGAAGUUAAGCGAACCCCUUAAAACAGGUCCCAGUUCGGAUUGUAGGCUGCAACUCGCCUACAUGAAGUCGGAGUUGCUAGUAAUCGCGGAUCAGCAUGCCGCGGUGAAUACGUUCCCGGGCCUUGUACACACCGCCCGUCACACCAUGGGAGUUGGGAGCACCCAAAGCCAGCGAGGUAACCGCAAGGAGCCAGCUGUCCAAGGUGAGACCAAUGACUGGGGUGAAGUCGUAACAAGGUAACC